rnacentral:rRNA from 1 species
GACGAACGCUGGCGGCGUGCUUAACACAUGCAAGUCGAACGGAAAGGCCCUGCUUUUGUCGGGUGCUCGAGUGGCGAACGGGUGAGUAACACGUGAGUAACCUGCCCUUGACUUUGGGAUAACUUCAGGAAACUGGGGCUAAUACCGGAUAGGAGCUCCUGCUGCAUGGUGGGGGUUGGAAAGUUUCGGCGGUUGGGGAUGGACGCGCGGCUUAUCAGCUUGUUGGUGGGGGAGUGGCUUACCAAGGCUUUGACGGGUAGCCGGCCUGAGAGGGUCACCGGCCACAUUGGGACUGAGAUAGGGACCAGACUCCUACGGGAGGCAGCAGUGGGGAAUAUUGCACAAUGGGCGGGAGCCUGAUGCAGCAACGCUGCGUGCGGGAUGACGGCCUUCGGGUUGUGAACCGCUUUCGCCUGUGACGAAGCGUGAGUGACGGUAAUGGGUAAAGAAGCACCGGCUAACUACGUG